AGUGAACGCUGGCGGUAGGCCUAACACAUGCAAGUCGAACGGCAGCACAGGAGAGCUUGCUCUCUGGGUGGCGAGUGGCGGACGGGUGAGGAAUACAUCGGAAUCUACUCUGUCGUGGGGGAUAACGUAGGGAAACUUACGCUAAUACCGCAUACGACCUACGGGUGAAAGCAGGGGACCUUCGGGCCUUGCGCGAUUGAAUGAGCCGAUGUCGGAUUAGCUAGUUGGGGGGGUAAAGGCCCACCAAGGCGACGAUCCGUAGCUGGUCUGAGAGGAUGAUCGGCCACACUGGAACUGAGACACGGUCCAGACUCCUACGGGAGGCAGCAGUGGGGAAUAUUGGGCAAUGGGCGCAAGCCUGAUCCAGCCAUACCGCGUGGGUGAAGAAGGCCUUCGGGUUGUAAAGCCCUUUUGUUGGGAAAGAAAUCCAGCUGGCUAAUACCCGGUUGGGAUGACGGUACCCAAAGAAUAAGCACCGGCUAACUUCGUGCCAGCAGCCGCCGUAA
rnacentral:rRNA from 1 species